AUGGGAGGCGUUUGGGAGGAUCGACUAGGAAGGAUCGAACGGCACCUAGAGAAGACCUGCACAAGGAUGCCACAAAGAUCUCCAAGGAUGUCCUCGACUCUGCCAGGUGAGAUGGAUUCUUUUCAUCUUUCAUUCUCCAGUCAUUAUGUUCUAGACCAAAUAGAUCCUAAUGCGGUCGAGUUGGAGGCGGAUUCAGACAACAGAUUCCUUUACAAAUUCGAAGCCAGAACUCAAAAAAGAAAGGGCAAGGAAAUGAAGGGUGCAAGACUACUAGAGGCAAAGACAGGCGGACGCGGCCAGAGCAGUAUGGUGGCGUCGAUGGGUGUGGAGGAGUGUGUGAAGAGGUUGUAG
rnacentral:rRNA from 1 species